ensembl:snRNA U1 U1 spliceosomal RNA
AUACUUACCUGACAGGAGAGAUACCAUGGUCACAAAGGUGGUUUUCCCAGGGAGAGUCUUACCCAUUGCACUUUGGAUGUGCUGACUCCUGUGACUCCCCCACAUGUGGGAAACUUGAUUGCAUAAUUUGUGGUAGGGGGACUGUGUUCACACUCUCACUUC